rnacentral:lncRNA from 1 species
CAGUGCCUGUAGAGACCUAGCAACUUACAUAAUUAUAUCCAAAGUAAAAAAUGGUUACUGCGGGAAUUUACAGCCAGAACUUUCAGUAUUCCAAACAAAACAUCGGGAGGUCCUAAAAUUCAAACCAUCAUCCCUGGUAAAGAUUUGCCAACUUUGUUUUUAUUUUUAAUGUGCCAACUUUGGAUCCUGUGAGAAGAAUAAAGUUCAACACAAAAGAGGACUCCACGUGUUGGAUCUUUGCUUCUCCAUAAACACUAGGAUACAGAGUGAGGUCCAACUGAGUCUCAUUUGUGUCCCUCACUGUCUCAUGUAAAAUGGGAAAGAAUAAAAAAGAUUCUUCUAAAGAUUAAAAGUCAAGUUAGUUGCUUAUGGUUCCCAUCAUUAAAACAACAAACAAAACAACCCUUGUAAACUCUUGGAAAGCAGCAGUCUUCUUCAUGUUUAGAAUGUUCUAGAAAAACCUAUUCUCAUGCCACACUCAAGGAGGAGUUCACUGACCAAAGCCGUGUCCACUUAGCACCAGCACUCAAGUAUUCUCUGAGCUACUGAGAACCUAGAAGUACUCAUCCUCUCUCUCUGGGGGCCUGGAAACCCACACCUACCUAAUUAGAGAUCCUAUUUUUGACAGUUUUGCAAUUUAGCCACUCUCCCAUCCCAGGCUGGAACACCCAGUGGUAGAGCCAAUGGGUACAGUUCUUCGUUAAAGGCUCUAAAAAACAGUCACAUCAUCCCUUAUUUAUGUAUCUCCCUAUGAAGAUGUAAGGGUUGUCUUAGCAUCUUCAAAUCUAAUUAAACCAUGAAAUCACAUUAUGGAAUGGACUUGUUAUCCUUAUCUUGCAAGUUAUGAAACCUUAGGGGUUAAGGGAUUCUGUUAAGCUUACUAAUUUAAGCAUGGGGACAUAUAGCCAAAAUUCAACACUGACUCCAUAUUUUAUCCACUGGGCUCUCUUGGCACCGUGAGAAAGAAUUUAGCCCUCAUAUCUUUUAUGUUUUUUUUUUUUUCCUCCUGCCGUUAAUUCCCAAAAUUACAAGGGGGUAGGUAGACUUUAGAGUAGUCUAAGACACCUGCAGGCAACAAGAUAACUUUUUGAGGGGCCUAGAUUCUCAUUAAGAAAGUCUCUAGAUAAGGACAGAAAACAGAAUUUCCUUAAUCUAUACAGCGGUUUCAACUAGGCAGUGGUUAGUUAAAAUGCACUUAUAGGACACCCUGAGUCAGUAGUUAAUGAAAUUUGUCAUUUAUUUCACUUGCUAUAAAAGGAUAACCACACAACUUCAUUCUUGGGUGUCUUCUCUUGGUUAUUUAUGUGGGUUAUUUACCUUAUGUCUGGGAAUUUAACACUUGUCAUAGAGCUGCUAAUCACACAAUCCAUCUUAGGUUCUGUAGUUUGCUCUCUAAAUGGGUCAUCAAUCUCAGCUAUUAGUUUUAUUUAUUAAACCCAACUCAGAAGUGGAAGUUUGACCCCAUCUUACCUUAUGCUGAAAACAGAUAUGAUUAGUCUAAGAUGAUGGAUGUGGUGAAGAUAAAAAAAAAAAAACCAAUUUAAGUGAAAAAUAAAUUAGUAAAAACUGUGCCAAUCCUGCAUGUCAGGAUUAUGGGAUGAGACUAAGACAUUGUUUCUGCCAAGGCCCAAAUCAGAGCACGCUGACCAGGAGUAUUGCAGACAGAGGGUGGUGUGCUGCGGUCACCACAUUAGCUUUAAGGCUGUUUUAUCUCAGUGUUCUUAAAUGACUUUUCUCGGGCAGCAAGGCCUUGUGUGCACGGCUUCACUCUGCCUAGAAUAUUCUCUUUCUUCCUCCUUCCUGCGUGUUUCCUAUUUAACUCAUACUCAACCUUCCAAUUUCAGUGCACAACCUUUUUCUAGGGAAACAAAAUCAUUUUCCAGACUACUUGGAUUCCUUUUUUUUUUUUUUUUUCCUUUUCCUUUUUUUAGGGCCGCACCUGCAGCAUACGGAUGUUCCCAGGCUAGGGGUCAAAUCAGAGCUGCAGAGGCUGGCUUAUGGCAUAGCCACAUCAACAUGGGGUCCAAGCUGUAUCACAUCUGUGACCUACCCCGCAGCUUGCAGUGACACAGGAUCCUUAACCCACUGAGCCAGGUCAGAGAUCAAACCCACGUCCUCAUGGAUACUAGUUGGGUCCUUAACCUGCUGAGCCACAACAGAACUCCAGACUACUUGGAUUCCUUUGUCUCAUACAUUUUUUUCAGAAGACUUUCUUUCAUAGCAGUAAACUUGGCAUUUAUCAUGAAAUUAUUUUAUGGGCAUCUGUUUUCUCUAAGGGAGAGUACACUCCAUGAGGUCAGGGGCCAUGCUUGCUGUUUCUCAUCAUUUUGCCUCUAGUUCUUAGCACAGUGCUUAGAGCAGAGUGAGACCUUGAUUAAUGUUUGUUGAAGAAAUGACUGCAAAGCUCGAGCAAUUUUGCUUUUGGAUUUGGUGAAAAAAGGAUUGCAAAACACAACUUCUGUGCCUUUCAAAACCAUUAUGGGUCUUGAAACUCUUGUGACCAGUACGAAGGGACAGGUUCUCCACAGUAUUCUCGUUCAGGGAUGACCGUGGGAACAGCAACUUCACAACAAGAGUGUCUGGGUAAUUUGGAAAUAACUAUGAAAGAUGUUUGGAUGGUUGAUUCAUUAUUGUGUGACGAAUACAUAAGUGGUUUCAAAAUUAACAGUGUUGUUUUUAAAUUACUUGAUCAGAAGAAGGAAAGGACAUUGAGAUGGAUAAUGUGGAACAUCUUGGCUGCUUAUAAUUAUAUCGCUCCUGCUUUUCCCACCAUUGUAACAUCUGCUGACCUUCCAUACACUACUUAUUGCUCCAUUGCAACAGGGAAGAUAUGUAACCUGACCAUAUUAGGGAGAUUAGAAAAUAGGACUUCCUUUGGUUCUAUGACCCCAGCCCUGCUGUGGCCUUUAGUUCCUCUUUCCUUUGUCAGGGAAGGUGUCACCUUUGGGUUUCCUUUUCAAAACUGCAGAGGAAAUUCAAGAUUUAGUUCCUUUUCAGCUUGCUGCUUGGCUUAGUGACAAAGCCCAGCUAUUGUUUUAAAGAUCAAUAUAAAGUUGGGAAGUAAAAAUGGAGAUGCUUUUCAUCUCAUCUUCAAUUAAGUCAAUACAUGUUGGUUGCAAAGUUAUACGGAAGGCACUGUGGUGUGUGUGAGCUGACUUAAAAAAAGGAUUCACAGUCAAAUGAGAGAAACUAGGUCGUAUCUAGCAAUAUAAGGCAGGCAGUGAUAAGUAUUAAAGUGAGAGAAUAGAAAAUUCUAUGGGAUCAUAGGGGAGGGAGAGAUUAAUUCCAAUUUAGGGAUUUUGGAAGACUUUGUAAAUAAUUUGGAUCUUGAAGAUGGACCUUUAAUAAUGGGAAAGAAGUCAGUGAGCAUAAGGAGUGAAAAGAGGACCUUCUAGGCAGAAGGAACAAGGGAAACCUAGGCAAGAAGUAGGAGAGCACAGGGAAUUCUUUAGAAAUACGUGAUAAUACUGUGGAGCUGGAGUUUGCAAUGUUCAGAGAUGUAAUGAGAAGUAAGAUGAGAAAUGCAGAUUGAAUCUGUAGAGUAGGCUUUGAAUGUCAUGCAAGACAGAACUUCAUGCUGUCCAUAGUGUCUGUUCAAGACAGUUUACAUCUAUCAGAGUUUUAGUAAGUUUUGAUUUGGUAUAGUUUAAGGUAGCAGGAAUCCUAUUCUGCUGCGGUAUUGAGAGGGAAGCGCGGGCUAGCCUAAUUUCUUAUGUCUUGUCCCAUUACUCUCUAGGGGUUUUUGUUUUUAAUGUAUUCGAGGUGGGUACAUGGGCAUUAAGAGUUGGAAGGAGACAUGGGUAAACAAUACUCAGGUUGCAUUAAAAUGCAAUAUCUGCAGAAGAGGCUGGCUGGCCAGCAUCCUGGUUGGUAAUGACUCUGGAUCCUCGCGCCCCAAGGAGGGCGAUGGAGGAGAAACAAUGCCUCUUUCCACUGCCUUGCAGGCAUGUGUGACCUCUUUUUCAAGACUCAAAGCAUGACUCAGUGUUGCCCAUGGACUGUGAUGUCCAUUUCAGCUUUGUAGAUUUUGCCAUUGGCAUUUCCUCUCAUAGUCUGGCAAUAGGAUGUGUGACAGUCUUUGUUUUCAUUUCCUUUUUCCCCGCUGAGUGUUCAUAUGUAUUUUAGUGUAACUUUGAGAAAGGCUAACUCUCAGGCUGCCAUCCAGAAGGCAUCUCAGACCAGAAAUGAGUACAUGAUACCUUGAAGUUCCUUUUGGUGGUUUCAUGGUUCAAUGAUAAGGGAAACAAUACAAAAAUCUUGGCAUAUUUCUUGUCUGUGAUUAUUUUCAAAAAGUCUGACAAGAACAAAAUGGGGUUGGAAUAUCUGGCCACGGUUAUAGGAGUCCAGAGGAGAGGGACUCAGGGACAGAACUCAAGUUAUCAGAGUAGAAAUGGAGAAGAGGGGACAGACAGGAGAUCUGUGAGAGGGGUGGAAUGUGCAGAGGUUAUUGUUAAGGUAACAGCUGAGAAAAGGGGUACAUUUGCAGUGUUACCCAGAUUUCUGGCGUCAGUGACUGCGCAGAUAGAUGACAGUGCCACUCAAAAGAAUGGGGAAUGUGAGAGUAAAUGCUUUUAUGAGACCAAGAGCAGAAGCUUUAUGGCCACAACUUGUGGUGUGAAUAGAAGAGUCCCCAAAAAAGAGAAAGAAAGGCCAUGAGCACGACAUGGAGGGAAAACCAGAAACUGAUAAAAGGCAAGACGUAAGGAGGAAGCGAGCCCCUUGAGGAAUGUCUGAAAUGUCCAAAGGGAUGAAAGAAGGACCAGGGUCCCUAUUUUAAUAACUGGAUAUUUCUGGGGAGAAAGAGCACCCAGAUUUGAAAAAUGAAGCAUGUAGACGUUUUAAACAAUGAAAACUAUUGUUAAAAUAAAAAUCGAUAGAUUAAACAAUAGAGAGGAUGCAGAUGAAAAGAAAAUUAGUGAAUUGUCAAAUAUAUCUGAUGAAAUAGCACAGAAUGCAGAAGAGAGAGUUAAAGAGAUGGGAAAUAUGUGGAAGAAAAUGAGGAUACAUGGAGGAUGUAAUGAGAAGCUUUAAUAACAUAGCUAAUAGAAGUUCCAGAAGGAGGAAGCAAAGAGCAUGGCGGAAAAGCAAUAUUAAAAAGAAUUAUUGGAGUUCCUGUCCUGGUUCAGUGGUUAAUGAAUCCGACUAGGAACCAUGAGGUUGCGGGUUCGAUCCCUGGCCUUGCUCAGUGGGUUAAGGAUCUGGCGUUGCUGUGAGCUGUGGUGUAGGUUGCAGACGCGGCUCAGCUCCUGUGUUGCUGUGGCUCUGUCAUAGGCUGGUGGCUACGGCUCUGAUUUGACCCCUAGCCUGGGAACCUCCAUAUGCUGCGGGAUUGGCCCAAGAAAUG